rnacentral:lncRNA from 1 species
ACUACAUCUACUGCAGCACUAAAACAAGAAAUGGUGUUUUAUUGGUCAGUGAAGAUACUCAGAUCCUGUGAGUCUGCAAGCAUAUGAAAAAAGUGAACCUCUGGAACAAGAAAGGAAGGAAAUACGUGCGCCGUUGGCUCUUCCUGUGUGAACCCUUCCACCUCACCUGUGAAGCUCCUCCAUUCCCCCAGCUAUGCAAAGAAGGAAGAUGGGAGAAGUGCAAAGAUAUCAUUUAGAACUACUGGCUCUCGUUCAAGUGUUGCUCUUUCCUGAAGAAAUCCUAUAAAAUAACCGUCACUGCAAGAUUACUGUGCAGUUGAUCAUUAGGAUUUCUACCAAACUAUUUUGGAGAGAAACUACGAGGUUAUUAAACUCUAUGUCAUUCUCUGAAUUUGGUUUCCUUCCCUAACCACCUUGAAAAUCAAUUCAGAAACUCAGUGUAAUCCUUCACAUGCUUUUUGUGGGCUGUUUCAAAUGCAUCUGUUCACACACAGGCUUAGUCCUGGCUGUCGAAACUCUG